UUUAACUGAAGAGUUUGAUCAUGGCUCAGAUUGAACGCUGGCGGCAGGCUUAACACAUGCCAGUCGCGCGGGGGAAGGU
rnacentral:rRNA from 1 species